AGUGAACGCUGGCGGUAGGCCUAACACAUGCAAGUCGAACGGCAGCACAGUAAGAGCUUGCUCUUACGGGUGGCGAGUGGCGGACGGGUGAGGAAUACAUCGGAAUCUACUUUUUCGUGGGGGAUAACGUAGGGAAACUUACGCUAAUACCGCAUACGACCUACGGGUGAAAGCAGGGGAUCUUCGGACCUUGCGCGAUUGAAUGAGCCGAUGUCGGAUUAGCUAGUUGGCGGGGUAAAGGCCCACCAAGGCGACGAUCCGUAGCUGGUCUGAGAGGAUGAUCAGCCACACUGGAACGGAGACACGGUCCAGACUACUACGGGAGGCAGCAGUGGGGAAUAUUGGACAAUGGGCGCAAGCCUGAUCCAGCCAUACCGCGUGGGUGAAGAAGGCCUUGGGGUUGUAAAGCCCUUUUGUUGGGAAAGAAAAGCAGCAGGUUAAUACCCAGCUGUUCUGACGGUAACCAAAGAAUAAGCACCGGCUAACUUCGUG
rnacentral:rRNA from 1 species